rnacentral:rRNA from 1 species
GACGAACGCUGGCGGCGUGCUUAACACAUGCAAGUCGAACGAAGUGGCGAACGGGUGAGUAAUACGUGAGUAACCUGCCCUCCUUUUUGGGAUAAGCCUUGGAAACGGGGUCUAAUACCGGAUAAAGGGGGAUGGGCUCGCGGCCUAUCAGCUUGUUGGUGGGGUGAUGGCCUACCAAGGCGGUGACGGGUAGCCGGCCUGAGAGGGUGAACGGCCACAUGGGGACUGAGAUACGGCCCAGACUGCUACGGGAGGAAGCAGUGGGGGGUAUUGCACAAUGGGCGAAAGGCUGAUGCAGCGACGUGGAGUGGGGGAUGAAGGCUUUCGGGUUGUAAACCUCUUUCGGAAGCGAACGGGUAGGUGGAGAAGAAGCGCCGGCUAACUACGUGCCAGCAGCCGCGGUAAUAC